UACGGAGGAUGCGAGCGUUAUCCGGAUUUAUUGGGUUUAAAGGGUGCGUAGGCGGGAUGCCAAGUCAGCGGUAAAAAUGCGGUGCUCAACGCCGUCGAGCCGUUGAAACUGGCGUCCUUGAGUGGGCGAGAAGUAUGCGGAAUGCGUGGUGUAGCGGUGAAAUGCAUAGAUAUCACGCAGAACUCCGAUUGCGAAGGCAGCAUACCGGCGCCCUACUGAUGCUGAGGCACGAAAGCGUGGGUAUCGAACAGG
rnacentral:rRNA from 1 species